GCGGCCAGGGGCGCGGGGCGGCCUGGUGAUGGCGCGACCUUCAGUUCCUCCAUCCUGCUGCAAUGGUGACAGAUGUGGCCACCAGGCCAGCCCCUAGAGGACGUAGAAAACCCCCUCCACCCCAUCCCAACGUGAUAACGCCACACCGUGCGCGCUCUCCCAUUUCACAGAUGAGAUGGGACGCGCCUUCCAGCUGCCUUUGGACAGCGUUGAAAUGUACCCACGGGGAGUCAGUCACUCUAGGAUCUAAAAGCAAGCCUCUGGUACCAACCACACCUCAUCCCUAACCCUGCAAACUCAUCUCAGAUGCUUUUGGUCUUCCACUAUGAGACAGAAUCAAGGGGGGCGGGGUUGUCAUCCUGCAGCGCAGUCCAGAAUCCAGUCAGGAAGAACAAAGCCAGCCCUAGAGUGAAGGAUUUCUUCAAGAGUCCCUUCUGCCUAGGAUUCUUUUACAUGGCCACCCAGCAGGGCAGCCAGAAGUGUUAAACUUCAGCCUCUCUGCAUAGCUGUGAAAUCUCACCUUCCCUACCUCUGGUCCUGACACUCCUUAGAUGGACUGAGGGUCAGAGAUGACUCCAAAGAUCUUAAGGAGACCAAGAUCUUUGAAGGCCAGGGAAGGUGGGAUCCACCUGCCUGCCCUGGGUGACUUCUGUGCUAUGCACUGUUGUGGGCCUCAGCCCCACCUACCCUGACCUCUAGAGAAAUGAAACUACCUUUGCAUGAGAGGAAGCAGGGGAGUUCCUUGAAGUGUGAUUGCAACCGCAAAAACGCCCCAAAUUAGUCCGUCAUCACCAUCUGGGAGAGCAUCCCACAGGAAACAGAAAUCAAGCCCUUACCGGUGGCCCUGAAUUUCUGUCCUGGGUGUUAUGCAAGAACAUGCUUGGCCUGUGCAGAAACUGAGACACAGCUGUCAGACAGCCCAGCCAAAUGACGGUAGAGCCAACGUUCCCGUGAAACAGUAGCUUACAAGCUCAGAUGUUUCUGAAAAGCAGGUAAAAGAAUAUGUCUUUUCCUAUAUUUAAUGGUGUGUGUGUGUGUGUGUGUGUGUGUGUGUGUGUGUGUGUGUGUAAGGUUUCUCUGUGUAGCUCAUACUGGCCUUGAAUUUGUAGCAAUCCUCCUGCCUCUGCUUUACCAGUGUUGGAAUCUUGGAUGCCAAGGCAUUUGUAUUAAAUAUUAACAGUGAUUGAA